GGAGUAGAUCAGAUGAUCGCUGGUCCGGUUUUCCGGGCUGGAGGAAAGUCCGAGCUCCGCAGGGCAGGAUGGUCGCUAACGGCGACUGGGGGUAACCCUAAGGAAAGUGCCACAGAAAAUAUACCGCCUGCCAUCCGGCGGGUAAGGGUGAAAAGGCGAGGUAAGAGCUCACCAGUUUCCCGGGUGACCGGGAAAGCUUGGCAAACCCCAUCCGGAACAAGACAAAAUAGGAGAACAUUUGAGGGUGGCCCGCCCGACGUUCUCGGGUCGUGUCGCUUGAGGCAGCAGGUAACUGUUGUCCCAGAUGAAUGAUCAUCGCCGCCUUUCGGGUAACUGCGAGGCGGUACAGAACUCGGCUUACGAUCUGGUCCGGCA
rfam:Syntrophaceae bacterium CG2_30_49_12 cg2_3.0_scaffold_10312_c, whole genome shotgun sequence.